rnacentral:rRNA from 1 species
GACGAACGCUGGCGGCGUGCCUAAUACAUGCAAGUAGAACGCUGAAGAGAGGAGCUUGCUCUUCUUGGGUGAGUUGCGCACGGGUGAGUAACGCGUAGGUAACCUGCCUGGUAGCGGGGGAUCACUAUUGGACACGAUAGCUAAUACCGCAUAAAAUUGUUCAUCGCAUGAUAAUUAAUUGAAAGAUGCCACUGCAUCACUACCAGGUGGACUUGCGUCGUAUUAGCUAGUUGGUGAGGUAACGGGUCACCAAGGCGAGGUCACGUAGCCGAACUGAGAGGGCGAGCAGCCACACUGAGACGGUGACACGGCCCAGUCGCAUACGGGAGGGAGCAGGAGGGAAACGGGAGCAAGGGGGGGAACCCAGACCGAGCAAGGCCGCAGGAGUGAGGAAGGUUGUCGGGUCGUAAAGGUCGGUUGUAAGGGAGGAACGGGCGUGAGAGUGGAAAGUACACAGUGUGACGGUAACGGACCAGGAAGCGACGGCUAACUACGUG